UUUUUCAAAAACAUAAUUCAAAAAUAUGUAACUGAUAUAGCAGAGAUCAAAACUGUUACCUAAAAUUUAUAUUCGUGAGGAUCAUUCGUCCUUUCCUUGAA